rnacentral:tRNA from 1 species
GAGGGUAUAGCUCAAGUGGUAGAGUAUAUGCUUAGCAUGCACAAGGUCCUGGGUUCAAUUCCCAAUGCCCCCU